rnacentral:lncRNA from 1 species
AUUAGCUGGUGUGACCCAGUGUGCCUCUGCUUACUAUUGAUUUCUGUCCCCAGCAAUCUAGGCUCUAGACUAUGCUACUGACAGCAUGGCACUUUCAGUGCCUUGAACAGGGAUUACAGUCUGCUCCCCCAAGUUGAAUGUGUGAUGGCUCAGUGAACCAGUGAGUACUGACCCGUGGGUAUCAUGCCUACUGACUACCAGCCUCGUUAGUACAAAGGCUAUAGAGAGGAUACUUGUGGCUUUGUAUGCUUGUGGCAUAAAGAGGGGAAUCAUUGUGGCUGUCUAGGCUUGGAGUUACGCUAAAGCCCCUCCUCAUAUCCUGCAAACAUUCAAAGAGCUGCAGCAGGGGUUGGCCUAGUGACCCAAGCUAGCUGGUUAGGGGCAUUCGACCUUAGCUCUCAAGCCACCUAUGUCUGGGAUUGCUAUACUCCUGGCAAUAGCCCUGGAUUCACAACUUCCCAGCCUUGCUCAGGGCCAUUAGGAUUGAAAUCUCUGGGAAGUAGCUACAGGUCUGGGAUGGAGAGAUGCUAAAGCUCGCAGAGACAAGCUAGUCCUGCCUGAGGAUUCAUUCUGCAGCGCCUGUGUGUGCCACAGGCUACAAAGGGCUCUGUACACAUCCACUUAUUUAACUGCCAUCCCAACUAGUCAGGUAAAUGCCAUAGUUUUUAUCCUUUUUUUUUUUUUCAGAGCGGAAACUGAGGCCCAGGAAAGUUGCUUGCUUGAGAUCACACAGAGCUGAGGGCAAGCUGGGAUUUGUACCUGGCAGUCUGAUAUUGAGAUUCUUGCUCAUAGCAGCAAGUUGAUAGACCCUGGAAAGUCCUCAAAGCCCCAAGGGACUCUCCCACCUUUGUGCCCAUUCUACAGAUGUGAAUACUGCUGCACAGUAUUCAGAAUAAGAGAAACUGCAUCUGCUUCAGGAAUCUGUCCUCCAGACAGAAGUUCAUUUUCAACUGCAGAUAAACAGUCAAAAAAAAUAAAUAAAUCUCACCUUUCUUUUUCUCUGUGGAGAGUGAAAUAACUCACCCUUUGGUAAAACGCAGAUGACAGACUAUACAUACUCACCUGAGUGAACUUCACUGGGCCUCAAAUCAUCAACCCCAGGAUCAAGACAAUGCUAGUGUGGGAUUCAGUGAGUCUUCUUACCUCUCCGACCUUCAGUUACCCUGGCUGUCCAUUGGGGAGUCAGAGUCUGAUUGCCUGGGUUGCUCAGAGAGCUGAGCUUAUGUUGGGCAGCAGUACCGCAGUGGCAGAGCCCUGGCCCUCCACACACAUGGCUUCCUGUAUCUCUUGUACUCUUCUGUGUAGUACUCUCAGCCCUCCGAGAACCAAGGGGACUUCACCCUCUGUACUAAACUGAUAAGUUUAAGUAAGAGCCCAGUGAGCUCUUAGCUCUGCAAGUUCUUAGUCUAAGAAACUCCUGUGGUCUAUUUUUACCCAGAGUCCUGGCUGUGACCUGGUCUUUGCCGGUGAUUGCAGGCCUUCAAGGUAGUUUCUGUUGCCUGAAACCCAGCAUUGUCUUUUCUGCCCCGAUUUUUAAUUGUAUCUCGAAGAACUCACAGCCAUUAACCCCAGGCCCUUGGAGAUGCUUUGUAACAAGAAAAAAGUCUGCGUAAAAAAGAAGCCAGGGCAGCUUGAACCAAACCUUGCAAUCUGUCAGACUAAAUGUGGAGGCUUCCUAUGGGAAUUCUGUGGCUCCAGAUGGCUAGGGAGCCUUAACAGUCCUUGCCACCCCUCUCUACCUUCCCACCUCUUGCUCUAGAACAGCCUGCAUGCCCUGGGUGAAAAUGAACAGUUAACUACGGUUGAUGAUCUGGGCUGUUCGCAGAUAAGUGUUACACAGUGAUCAAUGCCUUGUGCUAGGUCGGCCUUCCCAUUCAAGGCCUUCUUUCCAUGACCAGGCACACUGUGAGGACCUCAGACUAGAUGGGUAUGCUUUUCAGUCCACCACUCAAAGCUGUAUCAACUCCAAGAGCCCCAUUUAUCUUCCCUUCAAGUCCCUCAAGCUUGGUGGACUUCCAGAACAUGCUCAGCUAUGUGCUGGCUGCAAGCCAUUUGCUUUACAAGUUGGCCUGAGGUUGUGUUCAAAGACCCACACAUCAGAUGCCAAGCUUCAAGAACAAGAAACCUGAACAGGAGGCCCUGAUAAUCACCUGCUCUUAGCUGGUUUAUGGUCGUUGUCCAUCUUUUCUUGCCCUGGCUAUGACAAAGAUCUAAGGGAAAUGACUUCAAAGUAGGAAGAGCUCUGUAGUAAAGAAGGGGCCUAUAUGAUCUGGGAGGCCCACGGUCUCCAGUGGGUUUGGGGUUGGAAUUUGGAGACAACAGUUGGCCUGGUCUCCCUGAUGCAGUGCAGCAUCCUCCAGCCAUGGUCACAAGGCAGCUUCAGUGAUUGGGUUUUGAUUUUUAAGCAUUGCUAGGGGCACCUUUCUCACACACCAGUCCUAUGUUCAACUUCGCUGCUCUGCGCUGAAUUGACUUCAUGCUGACCCUCAGAAAAUGGUUCCUAGGCUGCCUCUACCCUGACACUGUUUUCUAGAGAUCUCAGGUCAAGAUCCUGAGAGUGGGGCGAUUCCUCCACUCCCAGCCCCCUGCCCAGCACUGGACGCCACCAGUUUUUAGUGUUUUAAGUUAGUUAGACAGUUCUAUUUUCCAGGUGUAAAAUUGCUGUGUGGUCACAGAAGGAAAAUCUUGGAAAUCUAAGAAAACCGUGAGAGCUCAAAAACAAACAAAC